AGAGGCUGUGCUCUGGGGCUCCGGAUCCUCAGAGAGCCUCGGCUAGAUAAUAUGGCUGAACCUAAGAAAAAAAUUAGACAACAUAGUAUUGAGUAUUUGAAUUACGGGUUUAUUUAUUCGCCUAUAAACAAUAUAGUCUCGUAACUCAAGCUUUGAAGACUCGUUAUGUAAGUAUUUUAAAACAUCUUGGUUCUCUACACAGCUUGAUAAGUCAACUUUGCCAGCCCUAAAGACAGGACGCAUUACCUCUGCAAUGUGAAGAAAAUUAUUUUUAUUGACUAAAGAUCUUGAAGAAAGAAGACAAGCUAUGUGGAAGGAAUCAUACUGGAUUGUUGGUGAUUUGCACCCUCUAGUGGGAGCUUGAUCAAAAGAGGAAUGCGCUGACAAAAAUUCCAACAUGGAAGUAUUGGAAAUAGAUUCUUUUUUUUAAAAAUGGUGUACGUGAAUUCUUGAGCAAACACGGGAGGGGUCGUGGAAUUGAGUUGUUGAAGGAAAUAUGUACAAAGCAGCAUGUAACAAAAAGUUCAUAAAUGUGUGCAAAAAACCCAUGUAACAAAAAUGUUCUUAAUAUGUGCUUAAUGUUCUUAAUGUGCUUACCCAAACUGUUAAUCAGAAUAUAUGUUAACUAAUAUGAAGAAUCGCUAAUAAACGUACGUGGUACUAGUCAUACUGAACUGUGUAUAAAAACUGCCUUUUCCAGAUUGACAGGGCACCACAUACUUUCACUUUGUGAUGCCCCAUGUGAGUAGCUGUUUUCAAUAAAACUUUGUGCUUACUCAGA